UACGAAGGGGGCUAGCGUUGCUCGGAAUUACUGGGCGUAAAGCGCACGUAGGCGGCUUCUUAAGUCGGUGGUGAAAUCCUGGAGCUCAACUCCAGAACUGCCUUCGAUACUGGGAGCUCGAGUCCGGGAGAGGUGAGUGGAACUGCGAGUGUAGAGGUGAAAUUCGUAGAAUAUUCGCAAGAACACCAGUGGCGAAGGCGGACUCACUGGCCCGGUACUGACGCUGAGGUGCGAAAGCG
rnacentral:rRNA from 1 species